CACUCGGCCUUGCGGGGGGGUCCACAGUUAAGGACACGGUGUGGCGGGUCCUCAAAGGAGCCAUGACUAAUGCCCUCACCGAGGGCAAAAUGGGAAGGUGGCCUUUGAGAGGCUCCACCUAAAAGGCAUUGUAAUUGCUGCAGUGAGAAGGAAUCUGGUCUGUGUGGCAUCUACGGAGGCAGAAAUUAUAAAUACAAUUAAAAAAUGGUUCUACUGGGCUGGGGAUAGGGACGGAGGGCGCAAAAGGAGAAUGCCCGCCCAACCAACCCCUCAACCAGCCCAGGACUCAGUCCAGGACUGACCUUUACAAAAAUAAAUAAAUAAAAUAUUCAAAUUUUA